AUUGAACGCUGGCGGCAGGCCUAACACAUGCAAGUCGAACGAGUGGCGGACGGGUGCGUAAUGUCUGGGCAACUGCCUGAUGGAGGGGGAUAACUACUGGAAACGGUAUCUAAUACCGCAUACCAUCGGAUGUGCCCAGAUGGGAUUAGCUAGUAGGUGGGGUAAAGGCUCACCUAGGGGACGAUCCCUAGCUGGUCUGAGAGGAUGACCAGCAACAGUGGGACGGAGACACGGUCAAGACUCCUACGGGAGGAAGCAGUGGGGAAUAGUGAACAAUGGGCGCAAGCCGGAUGCAGCCAUGCGGCGUGUAUGAAGAAGGCCUUCGGGUUGUAAAGUAAUUUCAGCGGGGAGGCGGUACCCGCAGAAGAAGCACCGGCUAACUCCGUGCCAGCAGCCGCGGUAAUUC
rnacentral:rRNA from 1 species